CGGAGGUGGCAAGCGUUACUCGGAAUUAUUGGGCGUAAAGGGCAAGUAGGUGGCUUUGUAAGUGAGGGGUGAAAUACUCCGGCUCAAUCGGAGAACUGCCUUUCAUACUGCAUUGCUUGAGGAUGGUAGGGGUAAGGGAAUUCCCGGUGUAAGGGUGAAAUCUGUAGAUAUCGGGAAGAACACCAGCGGCGAAGGCGCUUACCUGGACCAUUCCUGACACUGAAUUGCGAAAGCUAGGGGAGCAAACAGAAUUAGAUACUCUGGUAGUCCUAGCCGUAAACGAUGAGCACUAGGUGUUGGCUCCGUUAGGAGUCAGUGCCGCAGCUAACGCAUUAAGUGCUCCACCUGAGGACUACGGUCGCAAGGCUA
rnacentral:rRNA from 1 species